AGCGGAGCUAGAGCGCCGCAAGGGAAACCGGGUCACGUGGUCUAUGAGGUUUCCAUCGGCGGACAAUCCUAUCGAGGCACCGCGCGGUACAGUGGCCCGCCCCGGAUGUGGGGCGCAGGGAGAGGAGCCGCUGCAGGAUAGGUAAUGAGAACCCCACCUCCCGCGUCUCCAACGCCGGCCCCUUCCCCCGCAGCCUGAGGAAAGUUCCGCCUGGAUCGGAUCCGGGCGGAAAUGAGUUCCAGGGCCCGUGAUCUCUACUGGCUGCAGUACCUCCACAGCUCACCCACACUGCAGUACAAGUCUGGACAAUGUAGCUUCACUGACCGUUCCAAGAGGAAGCAUUUCUGUGAUGAACUUAUGGUUGAAGUUCUUGACAGGACCAACAAACAGGUCCAGUACCAAAACCAGAAGGACUUACAGCUAGAGAAAAGGCAUGGUGAGAGACAAGAGGACAGGCUGAGGCUGGCUGCAUAGCUUCAGGACAGGGCUUCAGCAUGGGAGCAGGCACUUCCUUUGCAGUUCCUGAAACAGGAACGGUGGCUAAAGGAGGAGGACAGAGCUCAGCAGAGAGAACUGUUUGAGUGGCUGAUAUCACUAAUGGCUGCGAGAGUAAUAGCUCCUGCCACACCCACAUCCCAGCCUGAGUGCCCGGCACGGUACCAUCAGAUGCAGUCCAGAAACAGCUUGGCUGGGUGGACCAUGCAGUCGGGCUCCAGGAGUGGCUGGGCAGGGCAACUUAGCCCCAUGUAGUCCUCCGUCUUUGACUCUUUCCCUUGUGGAUGCCUCCACCUCCCUUCUUCAGUACUAAGAGAUCGGGAAACAGGGAAAGAAGGGAAAGGAGAAUCAGGGCCAUGACACAUGCAACAAUAGGGGGUUUCUGUCUUGUACAUGGUUUCACUGUUUGCACUUGUUCGUGCACUUUUUUUGGGGGAAGAUUCUGUUGUUACCAGGAGUGGUGGAAGCACCCUAAAAAUGGGGGGGGCCACAGGAGCCCGAACCGCUCCGCACCCUUUGAGCUGCCUCUUCCCCCCCGAGGCUCCACCCUCACGCUGCCCCUUCCCCCCGAACUUCUGCUCCCAUGCCGCCCCUUCUCCUUGAGCCCCCACUCCCGCGCCGCCCCUUCAUCCCUAGACUCCACCUCCUGCUCACUACUCUCCGUCCCCUCCCCCCAUCACUCACCCUUACGUCUGGUAAAAAGUGGGGAGGCCAGGGGGCCAUGCCCCCCCCCGUUUCAGCUUCCCUGGUUGUUACUAGUAUUUUGGUGUGGCAGGCAGGCCAGCUGCCAUUAAAAUGGUUCAAUGUUGUACUUUUCUAAUACAUGUUAUAAACAAAGCUUUUUAUGUCACCAAGGAAGUUUGUUGCUAUCACUACAGCACAUCAUACAAUGUGUAUUUGAAAUAAUAAAGGUAAACGCAUGAUAAGGGACAAUUAGGAAUUAGUAAGCUAACACUAUUCCUCGAUAUGGUUAGGUACAUCAAUCCACUUCAAUCAUUUCCUUAUAUGAAUCCAUACUGUGAAUCAUCCCCCAUCCCCAUUUCAUAAGUGGCCAUGUCAUCCAUAAGUACACUGCAUGACAAUCAAGCCCCCAUCCCUCCCCAAGCACUGAAUCCCCCCCACAGUCAAUGAGCUCCAUUCCCUCCCCCCAGAAGCACAUUCAUAAAGGUACUAUUACUCCUCUUCCCUUGAGCCAUGCAAGUCCAUAAUGCGGGUGCACAAAGCAUCCCUGACUUCUGUUGCCCGGAUACAUCCAGCUCCAGCUGUGGUAGGUGGACUUUCUGGCUGAGUGUACCAAUUCAGCAGCCCCUCGCUGUCAUAGGUCCAUUCAGAGGGAAAUGGCGCACCUCUGGCGUCACAAAGAUUGGGAAGAGCACAGCAAGCCAUGGUAGUGCAGACAGCAUUGAUGACAUUGGCAUCCAAAUGCGUCUGUAGACGUCUCCAAUGGGAUUUCAAUCUGCCAAAAACACAUUCAACAACCAUUCUACACUUGCUGAGAGUGUAAUUGAACUGUCUUUUACCAGGGCCUCUGAAAUCAGGGUAUGGUUUCAUAAGACAAGGCAAAAGGGAUUAUAUGGGGCCUCCCAGAAUAACAGUGGGCACAGUGACACCAUUAUGACAAUGUCAUUUCGUCAGGCUAGUGUCCCAGCUUGUCCAUGAAUGUAGAGCCCUGAUUGGCAAAAAACCCUGGCAUCAUGAACUUUCCCAGUGGAGCCCACAAUGACACUCAUAAAUCAGCCUCUGUGGUCCAUGAGUGCCUGGAUAACUAUGGAGUAAUACCCACUGUGGUUUAUGCACUCCUUUGAUACAUGAUGAGGGCAAACUAUGGGCACACGAGUCCCAUCAAUGGCCCUGGCACAGUCUGGAACCCCAUUUUCUCAAAUCCAGCAAUUACCUCAGGAAUAUCUUUUAUGCCCGCCACCUUGGGUAAACCACAUACCUGCUUGCCUCAGAAACCUCCACCACCACUUUACCUACAGUUGACUUCCAACACCAAACUGGCUGUCAAUAGAUCUAGAGUAGUCUAGGCUAGCCAGCUUCAAGGUUUAAUACUGCAGCUGUCAUCCCCAGGAGUCACCCAUUGGUCUCAUGGGGCCCUAGUAGGCCGUCUUUCCAACCCUUCCACAAAUGGAAUCUCAUCUUGGAUAGAAGAUCCCAUCCGUUUUCUGGUUCAGAAGAAAGACCUUGUGUCAGUUCAAGCACAUCUUUUUAUACCAAAAGCAGUGACUGUCUCCUUGUCUCUGGAAAACUCAGCGUGAACCAGGAUAUGAAAAUCACUCCAGGAGGUGGUACCUCUUUGUUUAGUCUCAGUGAUUCACCUUCAUCACCUCCCACUGUUUUUAGUUCCUCUAGGAGCUAUGGUAAGCAUCCCCCAUGGAGUAGAACACAAUCAUACAUAAACCAUUCAUAGAUUUAAUAGAAUAUGGUCACCAAAGGUAAUGCAUGUAAUUACAAUAUUGGUCACAUCUCCCUCCAUACAGAAGUGAAUGUCACUAGGGUGCUUGAUCAUCAUCCUAGGAGAACCUACAGGUUCAUUCCCUGGCUGGCAUGACAGUCAAUACCUUUUAUACUUUCAAAUUACAAUUUCUUCCCCAUAGCCCAAAUCCUUUCUCCAUCCCACCUGUCUGGAGGUCAGGGACUGGGAAUCCCUGUGGCAUGACCUCAGCUUGGGAUGGGGGAGGAGGAAGAUUACUGAACCCUCCCUACACCCACCCAUCCACUCUCUCGGAGGGUUGGCCUUUUGUUCCUCACACACUGCAUCAAAGUCAUGGCAAGCAGCAUUUCCUUCCCCACCAGUCUCAGACUCUAUUACAUUUUCACAGAUCAUCAAGCAGUCAAACUGGGGGAAGAAAUUCCCUUUCCUUCUUGGCUGUCUAAACAAUUGGUUACUUUGUUACCUGCAGGGAGGAUCCUACCCCCACUUCUUUCUGUCAGCGACCUCAUUUGCAUUCUGGCUCACGCCUCCCUCUACAUGUUGGGAGUCAGCUGAGGGAGUUUGAUUCACCCUCUCUGCCUUUCCUGGAUAAAAGCCUGAAUUUGGUUUUAAAGCCCUUGUAUCAUUUCCAACAUUCCUCUCAUCUUCCCAUAGUCAGAGUUCCAGGACCUUCUUUGGUGUCCCACAUUAACUGUGGCCUUAAGCAGAGCACUGGGGUUCAUCUGCCGGCUUCUGGAUAUGUACAUCCUUAUGUCCUUCCUCCUGGGUUCCAUGGGUGUGACUUGACCCUCUUCUCCUGAUUGGGCCAGUAGCGUUUGUCCUGGUCAGCAAACUCCUGUUGCUCAGGUCAGUCUCUAGCUCCCCCCAUCUCUCCUGCAUCUUUUCCACUCCAGCCUCCAUGUCUCUGGACCUCGCUGCUAACUCUGCUGGACUGUCUAUGGCACCAUCUCCUUGGUCCCCUGCAUGCCAUAAGGAGGAAAAGGGAGCUCUUCUAGCCCCUGUCUGAAGGAGGUACCCCAUCCUGCUGUAGAAUGGCACCAUAGAGCACCACAUGGUAAUAAGCCUUGCUCAAAGCAAGUCUAAUCCAAAUGUUGAUCUGUGCGCUAUGGGGAGCAUUGGUGAGUGGACGUAAGGUGUGUUAGAGAUGUUCGAGUUGGAUCAUGCCAAAUUUCUAUAGUGUAGAUGAGAACACAUAUUGAACACUGCUGCUGCAAAAACUUGGAAUUGAGAUUCAGUGAAGGAUUUCAGCAUAUCCUAUUAGCACUUCAUUGUAUUAAGAUAACUUAAUAAGGUGCUGUUCAAUACAACAAAGGAAGCAUAAACUCUAUUACAAAGUAGAACUGGGUUCCUAGCAAUUUGAUUAAUAAGUGUUAACCUGAACGCUAGUCUGGUAGUAAUUUUCCUUCCUAUUCAUUUCUUUACACUUAGGUUAAGGUGCUCCGUGUGUGUGUGUGUGUGUGUGUGUGUGUGUAAAAGUUGAUUAAGCAUUUCUAUUCAUUCUGCUCUUGACUGAUUAAUUUAAAAAUAUGCAGUUAAAUGUUUACAUAAUGGAUAAUUAAGUUUAUUUAUGAAAACACACACAGUUAAUAUUGUCAAUUACUUCACAGAAUGAUAGUCAUAGCUAAUGUGCAGCGAAAGAUCUCUUGGACCAUUUAAUCCAACCAGCUGCAUUGGGCAGUAUAUUAAUCCACCUUAAAAGGUAUCUAGCUUUAUAAUUAGCAUCGCUAGAAAUGGUACUAUAAUUACCAUUGCCAGCUUUCUUGCAAUGUCUGGUUGCUCUUACAAUGAAAGCUGAUUUCACUGUAAAUAUUUAAAGAGCUAGAUUCAUCCCUGACUUCAAAUUCAUUGACUUCCACCAUGUGAGAAUUUAGCUUAGUGAGUCAAACAUUCUCAGUUACAUCCCUUCAAGCCUAUUUACUUCAGUGAGUCGUACAGGUUGGCAGAAUAUGGCCCACUGAUAUAAGUUCUCUCUUCAAAAGGCUAUUUAUUACUGUUCUUGCCAAAUUCAGCAUCAUCGUUUAAAUGGCUUUUAAAGGAAAAUCCCUCCCUUCCCCCAGCAAGCUACCGUCAUUUUGCAUUGUUAACAAAAUUUUGAGGCCAUUACUUCUAAUGGAGAGGGUUAAUGGCUGCAGUGCAAUGAGCUGAAGUGGGAGGCAGGUACAAAUAAAAACGGAUCACAGAAAGUGUGGAGAGGAGAUUACUAGAGAAGAGCUGUUGGGUCAUAGUUUCAAAGGGCAUUUUGCAAAAUAAUGCUUUAAUUAAGUUAUGCAAUAUUCACAGCAGUACAAACCGGCUACUCAAGACCAUUUUUUAAGAAGGACUUCCUCAAGCUAAGCAAUACCACAUUGGGCCCGUAAACUGUACUUGUAUAAAUUGUAGUCUUUGCUGCAUCAGACCCAUACCAUAGGGUUCACUGGAUUUAAAAUGUAUUUUAUUGUGAGGUAAUGUGAUGAUUUUUAAUGUUUAUUGUUUGUUGCACUCACUUUCUGUGUCUUGUCUUGCUUUGAAAUUUCAAAAAUCUAGACCAGCUCUAGGGAUCAGUUGGCAGAGAGUCUUAGCUUUUCUGCAUUUGAUAAACAAUGUCCUAAUUGUAUUUAAAAGUAUGAGUUGCACAAAUUCACUUGACAUUCUAUAUUACUUACUUUCCAAGUAAAGAAUUUCCCACUUUUUGAAUAAACUGCUGUAGCAAGCAACACUUCAAAAGAUGCAAGAGGCUGAAAAAAUGAUUAGACUAAUGUAGUUAUGCAUCCGAAGAAGUGGGCUGUAGUCCACGAAAGCUUAUGCUCUAAUAAAUUUGUUAGUCUCUAAGGUGCUACAAGUACUCCUGUUCUUUUUGUAGUUUUGAUAAGCUCUCAAAUAUCCUGUAGGGUUUUAAGCCCUUGGACAUAUGCAAUGAAUUGUGUCUGAGGCACAUUAGACAACUUGUCUUUCUACAUUUGUAUCUGUGAAGGUCAUGGAAAAGGCAGCCUCUUAUGUACAAUGUUGUUUGCUCUAUGAGACAUGGUCAGCCAUCUUGACUUCCCAUGAAGAAUGAAGGAAUUGUUGACAUAUUUUUAUAAAUAUCAUAUGCACCUCAGGUUACCAGUGUGAUAUUACCCUACCUGACUGCAUGGACUUAGAUCAAAGGAAGCUAUUAAGGGAACUGUAACAAUGGCAAAGCUAUUAACUGGGGAAUGGCCUGCCUGACUCCAGCCAGACAGGCAAGAUUUACUUUUCUCAGACCUGAGCCUAUGAUCAAAGAGAAUACUAAAAGCUUAAGGAUGCCAGCCCAGAGAAGAAAGGGAGUUGAGUGGGUUGCCAGAAAUGGUUGGAGAGAAGGCUCUGGCAGAAAGAGACACAGAAACUGCAGCAAGCUUGCUGUCUCUCCCAAAGCAGAGAUGGAGGUAACUGGGCUGAAUGGAACUUUGCAAAGCAUGCAAGGAAAGAUUAAGUUUUGGGUAAGGGGAAAUAUGCACAUAGGCCUUUAUUGUUUUGAUUCUUUGAUCUGUGUGCAAUGUACCUUUGGGUGAAUCAAUAACACUUUAGUUUGAAGAAGCUGUUUUUGAGUCACUUUUAUCAGCUGCUGUCAUGGAUUCCUUCAAGAAGAGGACUUACAGGUGUCAAACACAGUUGGACUUAUUGGGUUAAUAAGGUAAGGGUGGUGCAGCCCAGAGAUCUGGCCUGUGUGGUUCUUCCCAGAGAGGGGUGAAGGUAGUGAAACCUGUCAUGAAAGGGACUAAGUAGGGUCUAAAGCUCAGUUUGCCCGGUAACUGUGACGCCUCCUGUUACAUGCUACUCUCUCUGUGGCCUAAAAGUCUUGCAGCUCUUUUAAACAGAAUUAUAUUGUUAUUUUGAGCCUAGUCCAACGCCCACAAAAGUCCCUGGAAAAUCCAGUUUUCCCCAAAUAUGUCUGUGGGAAGAUGGUUUCUGAGGUUUUGGUUUGAUCCAUUGUAGUGAAAGAGGUCAAUUUAAAAGCCUGGAUCAGGAUGUGGGUCUAACUGGCUGCAAGUUUAGUGGUGAGGUGUGCAGGUUGGGAUUCAGGGGUUUGUUUCAGGCCUAUCUCUAAUGUUAAUAUCUGUGUGGUGUGUUGAAGAUGCAAAAUGAAAUACAAAUGCUAAGUUUAUUACAAUUAUUCUUUGCAGUUUACUACAAACAAUGUAGACUACAAUCUGUAGUACUGUAAGUGGACACAAAAUAGUGGUUGCUGUCUAUGCACGUCGCUGUUAUUCUGUAUUGAAUGAUUAAAUGGAUUUUGCCUGUGGUACAUGACGCAAGCCAGUUCUGUGAAACUCUGGCAGAGGAUACACUAUCAAAGCAUGAGAGGGCUAAGAUAAGAGUAGCUCUGCCACAAAGUCUACUUGCUUUUAUGUAUUUGCCUCCAAGUUCCCAGUCCUCGAACUCAUCACCUGUGUAUGUGAGGAUACUAUAAUUCAAUGAUAAAUAAUAAUAAUAGUAAUCACUGAAUUCUCAUGCUACUUUGAUACUGUCAUGUCAUUUCCAUCUCUCCAUUAUCAGGAGAUAAAAAUCAAUGUUAAAAUAUGUCAACAGUAACAUUAAUUCUACUUAAUUCAACCAUUGUUUAAUUUGAUCUUCUGCAAUCCAAAGAAAGCCACAUAUGUCUACUUCAUCUUUAAAUGUAAGAAACCUGUCUGCAGCGGUGACCCGUGGGGGGGGGUGUCAUGCAGGGGUCAUGCCCCCCCCCCCCAAAGUUGCUGCUUGGCUUGUACUGAGCAAACUCACACAGACUGAGCAGGCUCAGUAACAUCUGCUGAAGUCACUGCCCUCAUUCUGCCCCUCCCCUCACGUCUGUUUACUAGAGGGCAGGCCUGGGAGGGGAAUCAAGAUGGAUGGCCUAAGAGAGUGAGAGGCACUCUAUUAUCUUUCCUGUGGAUAUUUUAUAUUUGUUACUUCUUUGCUGUUUUCCUUAAUCUAAAAUAAAAGCCAUUUACUCUGCAAUUA